rnacentral:rRNA from 1 species
AUUGAACGCUGGCGGCAGGCCUAACACAUGCAAGUCGAACGGUAACAGGGAUCAGCUUGCUGAUUCGCUGACGAGUGGCGGACGGGUGGGUAAUGUCUGGGAAACUGCCUGAUGGAGGGGGAUAACUGCUGGAAACGGUAGCUAAUACCGCAUAACGUCGCAAGACCAAAGAGGGGGACCUUCGGGCCUCUUGCCAUCGGAUGUGCCCAGAUGGGAUUAGCUAGUAGGUGGGGUAACGGCUCACCUAGGCGACGAUCCCUAGCUGGUCUGAGAGGAUGACCAGCCACACUGGAACUGAGACACGGUCCAGACUCCUACGGGAGGCAGCAGUGGGGAAUAUUGCACAAUGGGCGCAAGCCUGAUGCAGCCAUGCCGCGUGUAUGAAGAAGGCCUUCGGGUUGUAAAGUACUUUCAGCGGGGAGGAAGGGAGUAAAGUUAAUACCUUUGCUCAUUGACGUUACCCGCAGAAGAAGCACCGGCUAACUCCGUG